rnacentral:lncRNA from 1 species
CUUCGUUACUCAGGAGAAAAAAAGAGGGAGAGAGAGAGAGAAAAUCAAGUCGCAGCCGGCUUGGCCCGGUGUUGGGGGCGGUCGCGCGGAACGGUGAGGCUGUGAGAACUUCCCCAGCUGCUGACUGAAGUGGGAAGUGAGGUGUGAACUGAGACCCCGGGAGAGAGGCCCUCCGGGUAGGACCUGGCCUCGGACUGGCGGCGUAAAGGGUGGCCUUGCCACCGACUGAGAGUGGUUGAGCUGGCCUCUGGCCGAGUGUGGGGAGAGAGGCUUCACUUCUUUGUACACAUGUGCAGAGGCUAUGAAGUCCAGGAUUAAGGUGCUGGCCAAUUCAGUUUCUGGUGAAGACUCUUCUGGAGUUGCAGACUUCUGAGUUUAUCUUCAAAUGGCCUUUCCCCAGUGGGCGUAUGUGGGGAGAGGGGAGAGCCAUCCUGCCUGAAACUCAGGAAACACAAGGUCCCUGGUUGUGUAAUAUGAGUACACUUGAAAGUUCCUCGUCCUUAUCUGGCAACCCAGAUGGAUAAAUACUGGCCCUGAAGAUGCUUUUCUUAAAACUGAGCACAAGUGGCUGCAGAACAGAGCUUGGGAAGAACCAGUUAUUCUUCUGUCAGUUCAAAACUGGGGGCCCCUUCCCUCUAGCAUUCAUCCUCUGCUUGCCGGGGCAUAUCAAUUUCACCCAAAUCACGUGGACUAAGGUGGUGAUGGUGGGCUGUGGUAGGUAUGAUUUCCCCAAAGAAAAUUCAGAUGAAGUCACCAGAGGGAAGAAGGAAGAAUGGAUGUUUAUGCAAAAGACGCAGAUGUCCACAACAGUUCCCACAUGGGAAGAGAAUAAUCCAGGUUUAAGAGCCCUGGCUUGGGACCCCAGUGUCUGGGGAUGGAGUCCCAGCUCUACCAUUUACAAAUUGUGUGACCAUGGCUGGAUCAUGUCACCAGUCAGUAUGGGUCUGUGUCCCCAUUAACAAAUGGGAGUGAUGGUCCAGCAUUGUGGGCCUGAAUCAGAGUGACAGCACAUUGCAAAGGCACCAUGUAAGCUCCAGCAGGUGUGUCACAGCUACUUGUGGUGUCAUGAAAUCUGAAGUCUCUGAUCCAGUGAAUCAGCUUCUGAAUAUUUAAUCAAAGGAAAUUAAAACACUAACUCAGGAGUUCCCAUCAUGGUGCAGUGGUUAACGGAUCCGACUAGGAACCAUAAGGUUGCGAGUUCGAUCCCUGGCCUUGCUCAGUGGGUCGAGGAUCCAGCAUUGCCGUGAGCUGUGGUGUAAGUUGCAGACACGGCUGGGAUCCUGCGUUGCUGCGGCUCUGGCGUAGGCCGGUGGCUAUAGCUCCAAUUAGACCCCUAGCCUGGGAAUCUCCAUAUGCCGCUGGAGCGGCCCUAGAAAAAGGCAAAAAGACAAAACAAACAAACAAACAAACAAAAAAACACUAACUCAAAAAGGUAUCUGUACCCCCAUGUUCAUUGCAGCAUUAUUUACAAUAGCCAGGAUAUGCAAACAACCUAAGUGUCUAUUGAUGGAUGAAUCAAUAAAGAAAUGUGGUGUGUAUAUGUAAUGGAAUAUACUUCAGCCAUAGGAAAGAAUAAAAUUCUGCCAUUUUGCAACAACAUGGAUGAACCUUGAGGGCAUUAUGCUAAAUGAAAUGUCAGACAGAGAAAGACAAAUACCAUAUGAUCUUACUCAUAUAUGAAAUUAAAAAGAAAAACUAAGGUCAUAAAUACAAAAAGUAGAUUGGUGGUUGCCAAAGAUGGGGGGAUAGGAGAAUGGGCGAAAUGACUGAAGGGGGUCAAAAGGUAUAGACUUUCAGUUAUAAGAUAAAUAAGUCCUGGGAUAUAAUGUACAGCAUGGUGACUGUAGUUAACACUGUAUUGCACAUUUUAAUGUUUCUAAGAGAGUGGAUCUUAAAAAUUCAUCACAAGAGAAAAAAUUUAUAACUAUGUAUGGUAACAGAUAUUAACUACACUUAUUAUGGAGACCAUUUUUCAGUGUAUACAAAUAUUGAAUCAUGUUGUAUGCCUGAAAUUAUUAUAAUGUUAUAUGUCAAUUAUACCUAAAUAAAAAACAAAAUGAA